GAACCACUUAAAUAUNUAAAAUUUAUGGUGGUGUCACAAAAUCGGAGGCCCCGACUGUUUACUAANACACAAUUCUAGUAGCAAUGAUGAACAAUCAUAGUAGUUCUGGAUGAAAUUUGCCCAAUUGCCAUUAUACAUAAAUAGAGAGUCAGAUUGGUGUAAACUGUAUACUAAUUGAAAGUCUGGUUAAUAUGCGCGCUUCUUAACUAUGAGGAUCCUAAGGUAGCAAAAUCAGUUGAGCCAUUAAAUGUGGUACUGGUUAUCAAUAGUGUAACGAUGGUCUCACUGUCUCUACAACCUUGCUCAGUGAAAUUGAAUUAUCCGUGCAAGUAUUGCGGAUUGCCUCCAGGUGGACGGUGAAGACCCUAUGCAGCUUCUACUG
rnacentral:rRNA from 1 species